UACGUAGGGGGCUAGCGUUGUCCGGAUUUAUUGGGCGUAAAGAGCGUGUAGGCGGCCAGGUAGGUCUGCUGUGAAAACUCGAGGCUCAACCUCGAGACGUCGGCGGAAACUAUCUGGCUAGAGUCCGGAAGAGGAGAAUGGAAUUCCUGGUGUAGCGGUGAAAUGCGCAGAUAUCAGGAAGAACACCCGUGGCGAAGGCGGUUCUCUGGGACGGUACUGACGCUGAGACGCGAAAGCGUGGGGAGGGAACAGG
rnacentral:rRNA from 1 species